UCUCUGGUAGUAUAGUGGUGAGUAUCCGCGCCUGUCACGUGCGAGACCGGGGUUCGAUUCCCCGCCAGAGAG
rfam:Strongyloides ratti strain ED321 Heterogonic genome assembly, scaffold: srae_scaffold0000014